rnacentral:rRNA from 1 species
GUGAGGAAUAUUGCACAAUGGAGGCAACUCUGACGCAGCCAUGCCGCGUGCAGGAAGAAGGCGCUACGCGUUGUAAACUGCUUUUAACCGGGAAGAAACCCCAGGACGUGUCCUGGGUUGACGGUACCGGAGGAAUAAGCACCGGCUAACUUCGUGCCAGCAGCCGCGGUAAUACGAAGGGUGCAAGCGUUAUCCGGAUUCAUUGGGUUUAAAGGGUGCGUAGGCGGAGCGUUAAGUCAGUGGUGAAAUCCUGCAGCUUAACUGUAGACUUGCCAUUGAUACUGGCGCUCUUGAGUGCGCUUGAAGUGGGCGGAAUGUGCCGUGUAGCGGUGAAAUGCUUAGAUAUGGCACAGAACACCAAUUGCGAAGGCAGCUCACUAAGGCGAUACUGACGCUGAGGCACGAAAGCGUGGGGAUCGAACAGGAUUAGAUACCCUUGUAGUCC